ACUUUUUUAUUAUUGUCAAACCCCACACAAACUAUAAAAGUGCUUAAAACCGAUAAGUACCUAAAAUAAGCCAAUCCAAACACCCUUUGAAUCCAAAUUGUUCUUCAUCAAAAUCUGCGCUCAAAGAUUGCUACGCUAAACUUACACGACAAAAUGAAUAUUGAAGCUUAAUUUCCUUGUCAUUAACAUUUGAUUACUGGAGCACUGAUGCCACAAUUUGUUCUUUGGCCAAGACAAGAGCUUUGGUUCACGGAAAGUGCACAGAGAGCCGAAAGAACUAUAGUUUGGUUCCGGACUCGAGCAAUCUUGUACCUAUUAUUCU
rnacentral:lncRNA from 1 species